GUUAGGUUUUGAGUUAGGUUAUGAGUUAGGUUAGGUUUUGAGUUAGGUUAGGUUUUGAGUUAGGUUAGGUUUUGAGUUAGGCUAGGUUUUGAGUUAGGUUAGGUUUUGAGUUAGGUUAGGUUUUGAGUUAGGUUAGGUUUUGAGUUAGGUUAGGUUUUGAGGUUGGUUAGGUUAGGUUAGGUUAGGUUAGGUUAGGUUAGGUUAGGUUAGGUUGGGGUCCCCCCGCGGGUUGCUCACCUUGUCGUGGUGGAGGGGCUUAGUAACCGUGGCUUGGUCACCCACGGUGAAGCGAAGAGGCAACCAGGGCCGGCCUGUUUGAGGGUCGGGCUGGCCCGAGGAGGACGCUCCAAGUGGGCUUGUUAAGCCCGCUUGUGACGCGUUGGAGGUGGACCGUCGAGGAAGAGGAGUGUCGGUAUUGCGGUGAGCCGUUCUCCCUAUCCUCGGCGGCCGAGGUGGGAUCGCAGGGGAAGAGGCGUGAUGGUAUUACGAUCGCCAGUCGCCCUAUCCCCUGCGAACUUGGCGGUGCCGUUCCGCUGUAGCGGCGUUGGUGGGGCUGCAGAGGAAGAGGAGUGUCGGUGUUACGAUGUGCCGUUCUCCCUGUCCUCUGCAGCCGAAUUGUGGUUUUGCGACAGAACCAUAGACCUGAUCUGUCGCCGGGCGCCGGAGAACUUUCUGGCGCCCAUGGCUUCCUUGUGGCGGGCUCGGGGGGGUCCGCUACAGUGCAGAACGGAGGCGGAGGAGGAAGGCGCGUCGAACCAUCAUGGCGCGCCUAGCGUGAAGGGCCUUCGGGCAUUUGCGAAGGAGCCGCUCGUGGGCGGCUGCCGCCGGUGGGGUCGCGGAUGAGUACGCAAGCGUUCCUGUAACCCCACCAAUAGUGCGGCGAGGCGGUAUAUGGGGGGUUUUUAGUGGGUAUACCGUGGGCCUCAUUAGCCUAGACGGGAGUCCCACAUAACCACUCGGGUCACCCCCCGCACCCGGGUGGUAUGCGGAAUGCAUUUUCCACCCUAAAAAAAAAAAAAAAAAAAGGU